rnacentral:rRNA from 1 species
UACGAAGGGGGCGAGCGUUGUUCGGAAUUACUGGGCGUAAAGGGCGCGCAGGCGGCCGAUCAAGUCAGGCGUGAAAGCCCCGGGCUUAACCUGGGAAUUGCGCUUGGGACUGGUUGGCUUGAGUUCGGGAGAGGAGAGUGGAAUUCCCAGUGUAGAGGUGAAAUUCGUAGAUAUUGGGAAGAACACCGGUGGCGAAGGCGGCUCUCUGGACCGAUACUGACGCUGAGGCGCGAAAGCGUGGGGAGCAAACAGGAUUAGAUACCCUGGUAGUCCACGCUGUAAACGAUGUGCGCUAGACGUUGGGAGGCGUAGCCUUCCGGUGUCGCAGCUAACGCUUUAAGCGCACCGCCUGGGGAGUACGGCCGCAAGGUUAAA